GUGCUCGCUUCGGCAGCACAUAUACUAAAACUGGAACAAUACAGAGAAGAUUAGCAUGGCCCCUGCACAAGGAUGAAACACAUAAAACAUUGUGUUCAGCAUGUAUGU